CUACGGGGGGCACCAGUGGGGAAUAUUGCACAAUGGGCGCAAGCCUGAUGCAGCCAUGCCGCGUGUAUGAAGAAGGCCUUCGGGUUGUAAAGUACUUUCAGCGGGGAGGAAGGGAGUAAAGUUAAUACCUUUGCUCAUUGACGUUACCCGCAGAAGAAGCACCGGCUAACUCCGUGCCAGCAGCCGCGGUAAUACGGAGGGUGCAAGCGUAAUCGGAAUUACUGGGCGUAAAGCGCACGCAGGCGGUUUGUUAAGUCAGAUGUGAAAUCCCCGGGCUCAACCUGGGAACUGCAUCUGAUACUGGCAAGCUUGAGUCUCGUAGAGGGGGGUAGAAUUCCAGGUGUAGCGGUGAUAUGCGUAGAGAUCUGGAGGAAUACCGGUGGCGAAGGCGGCCCCCUGGACGAAGACUGACGCUCAGGUGCGAAAGCGUGGGGAGCAAACAGGAUUAGAUACCCUUGUAGUC
rnacentral:rRNA from 1 species